AAUGGAGGCAACUCUGAUCCAGCCAUCCCGCGUGCAGGAUGACGGCCUAUGGGUUGUAAACUGCUUUUAGAAGGGACGAACUUUGGGAUUUACUCCCGACUGACGGUACCUUCAGAAUAAGCACCGGCUAACUCCGUGCCAGCAACCGCGGUAAUACGGAGGGUGCAAGCGUUAUCCGGAAUCACUGGGUUUAAAGGGUGCGUAGGCGGCAUUGUAAGUCAGAUGUGAAAGCCCACCGCUUAACGGUGGAACUGCAUUUGAUACUGCAAAGCUUGAAUCAGGCUGAGGUCAGCGGAAUGUGUCAUGUAGCGGUGAAAUGCAUAGAUAUGACAUAGAACACCAAUUGCGAAGGCAGCUGGCUAGACCUGUAUUGACGCUGAGGCACGAAAGCGUGGGGAGCGAACAGGAUU
rnacentral:rRNA from 1 species